GACGAACGCUGGCGGCGUGCUUAACACAUGCAAGUCGAACGGAAAGGCCCUGCUUUUGUGGGGUGCUCGAGUGGCGAACGGGUGAGUAACACGUGAGUAACCUGCCCUUGACUUUGGGAUAACUUCAGGAAACUGGGGCUAAUACCGGAUAGGAGCUCCUGCUGCAUGGUGGGGGUUGGAAAGUUUCGGCGGUUGGGGAUGGACUCGCGGCUUAUCAGCUUGUUGGUGGGGUAGUGGCUUACCAAGGCUUUGACGGGUAGCCGGCCUGGGAGGGUGACCGGGCACCUUGCGCCUGCGGUACGCCCCAGACUCCUACGGUGGGCAGCGGGGGGGAAUCUUGCCCAACGGGCGGGCGCCUGAUGCGGCAACGCCGCGUUCGGGAUGAUGGCCUUCGGGUUGUAAACCGCUUUCGCCUGUGACGAAGCGUGAGUGACGGUAAUGGGUAAAGAAGCACCGGCUAACUACGUG
rnacentral:rRNA from 1 species